rnacentral:misc_RNA from 1 species
CACGUAGGAUCCAAGCGUUAAUCGGAUUUACUGGGCGUAAAGCGUGCGUAGGCGGCUUUUUAAGUCGGAUGUGAAAUCCCCGAGCUUAACUUGGGAAUUGCAUUCGAUACUGGGAAGCUAGAGUAUGGGAGAGGAUGGUAGAAUCCCAGGUGUAGCGGUGAAAUGCGUAGAGAUCUGGAGGAAUACCGAUGGCGAAGGCAGCCAUCUGGCCUAAUACUGACGCUGAGGUACGAAAGCGUGGGGAGCAAACAGG